rnacentral:rRNA from 1 species
UGCCAGACUCCUACGGGAGGCAGCAGUGGGGAAUAUUGCACAAUGGGGGAAACCCUGAUGCAGCGAUGCCGCGUGGAGGAAGAAGGUUUUCGGAUUGUAAACUCCUUUUAUCAGGGACGAUAAUGACGGUACCUGAAGAAAAAGCAUCGGCUAACUCCGUGCCAGCAGCCGCGGUAAUACGGAGGAUGCGAGCGUUAUCCGGAUUUAUUGGGUUUAAAGGGUGCGUAGGCGGAAUAUCAAGUCAGCGGUAAAAAUUCGGGGCUCAACCCCGUCGUGCCGUUGAAACUGAUGUUCUUGAGUGGGCGAGAAGUAUGCGGAAUGCGUGGUGUAGCGGUGAAAUGCAUAGAUAUCACGCAGAACUCCGAUUGCGAAGGCAGCAUACCGGCGCCCAACUGACGCUGAAGCACGAAAGCGUGGGUAUCGAACAGGAUUAGAUACCCCAGUACG